rnacentral:lncRNA from 1 species
AUGGCUCAGCUAUUCACCGUGACAGAAAAUAAUUUUGAGGAUCGGUCGAGCCAAAUAGUAAAAAGUACUUCAAAUAUUGGUAGUGAUGAACGAAAGCCGUCUUCAGAAUCAAAUAUUUACUCAACGCCAAGCUCUAUGACCGAGGAGCUCAUAACAAACAAAAAUUUUAUCAGCGCGCAAGAAGGCACUGAAAAUAUUAAAGGAAAUCGAGCUCUUUUCAGAGCAGGAUUGCAGAAUGAAUCGAUGCACGGUAGCGAAAACCGUGUUUUGGACCGAGUUGAGUUGAAUAGAAUGACGGGUGAAUCCAUGACUCCGGAUCGGCGAGAAUAUUGUAGAGGGUCUCCGGAUUCGGAACAAGAUGUCACGAAAAAAUGCCCUCGAACGAUACCCGAGGAUAUUCAGUCCAAGAAAAUCGCCGGGAAAAAUGACGACAAUCUAGAAGAGAGGCCUACGACCGAUGUUAAUUCGGUCACUCCCGCAUCGGUUUCCGGGUCGAUGACAACUUCCGGCGGAAACGACUCUGAGACAAUAUCCGGUCCGAUGGAUGGUCCCUCAGGAGCGCAGAAAUCGGGAUCCGGGAAUGAAGUGACCGAAAGUCCCACUACGGUAAACGAUUUCGAGAGGAAAUUCGAACCCGAGUACAUAGAUGACCAAAUCCCGGCCGAUGCGUCUCUAAAUUACUCCCAAAGCGUCGAACUUGAUUUCUUCCUGCGAGACGAAGAGGUCCUGGCUGAAAAUUAUCAGAACGAUGAGGUUUCCUCGCCGGCCCUGAGCGUGUUCCUGAAGCGGGAGAACGUCACCGGAAUCGACCGGAAAACCGGAAGCGCGUUGGGCGCGGCCCUCUCGCAAAAAGACCGGUUGGUGAAGAAGUCGGCCAAAGCCCUCGAGCCGGUUUCCAUGAGACAACAAGCUAAACCCGAGGGGCGGAGUUUCUUGGACUAUCUGAAGAGCAAAGCCUUCCAGAUUUACGACCACUUCGCGGAGGAAGAGAAAAACGAGCCGGUUUCAGUGACGACACUCCGACCGGAAAUGACGCGACCGGAAAUGGCGCGACCGGAAAUGGCGCGACCGGAAAUUGAGAAGACUUCCGGCGAUGCUGUGUUUCUGCUGAGCAUCAGUAACGAAACGCAUCACGAUUCCAUGUACAUAGGUAACGAGUUUCUGCAGUCGUUGAUCAGCCUGAAAAAUGUCGAGGCAGAGGUGACAACUGGUUUGGACCUGAAACCGGAUGCGGCAAAGUCAAUUUCCGGUUCGGAGGACGAGAAAUUGUGGUUUAGAUUUGACGAUGUGUAUCGGAGUCGAGAUGGAGAUCUUGACGAGGCAGCAUCCGGUAAACAAGAGACGAAGCCACCUAUGAGUUCGGUAAGGCUGCCGGAAAUAGAUGGAAAAGCCUCCGGAACAAGUUUGAGAACCCCGGUUUUUGAGGAGAGGGCUAUUCAAAUAAAAACUGAUGAUAGGUUCAAAGUAAAACCAGGCGUAGACACAAAUUUAUCAAAUUAG